rnacentral:tRNA from 1 species
GCCCCCGUAGUUGAAUGGAUACAAUGCCGCGCUUCGGACGCGGAGGUUGAGGGUUCAAAUCCUUCCGGGGGCA